AAAAUACUCCCACCGUUCCAAAUUACUUGUCAUAGAAAUAGAUGUAUCUAAAACUAAAAUACAUCUAGAUACAUCCAUACCUGCAACAAGUAAUUCGGAACGGAGAAAGUAUUUG
rnacentral:pre_miRNA from 1 species